rnacentral:lncRNA from 1 species
CCUUUAUUCUUGACAAAUUGUCUUGCUAUAGUAUUUGAAUACUAGAUCAGUUAUCCCAGGCACUAACAUUCUACUUAGGUUACCGACCGUCCCUAGAGCAAGUGGCAAAGGGCUUGAUGGUUGGUACCCGAGAUCCAAGUUCGAAUCCUAAUUGAUUCACAUUUCCAGCUAAGUUUAUUUCUAAAUGAAAUAAACGAAGCGGAUAGCGUGCUACCUAUCUCUCCAA